UACGUAGGGUGCAAGCGUUGUCCGGAAUUAUUGGGCGUAAAGAGCUCGUAGGCGGUUUGUCGCGUCUGCUGUGAAAACCCGAGGCUCAACUUCGGGCCUGCAGUGGGUACGGGCAGACUAGAGUGCGGUAGGGGAGAUUGGAAUUCCUGGUGUAGCGGUGGAAUGCGCAGAUAUCAGGAGGAACACCGAUGGCGAAGGCAGAUCUCUGGGCCGUAACUGACGCUGAGGAGCGAAAGCGUGGGGAGCGAACAGG
rnacentral:rRNA from 1 species